rnacentral:lncRNA from 1 species
UGGACUUGGGCAUCCCAACACUUUGCACCCUUUUCUUAUUCUUCUUCUCUUUCUUAAAGGGUCGACGUCCAGAAGAAGACCCUCCCACUACAUUCACUAACUACUUAUAAAGCUGAUGAUUCUUCUCAAAGUUUUACAGUAAUCCCAACAAAUUAUGGUAAUUGACUAUAUAGGCUUUGUCUUUCAAAAAUGAGUAAGGAAAGGGAGGUAGGACUUGCGCAGAG